UAACCUGCCCAAGAGAUCGGGAUAACACCUGGAAACAGAUGCUAAUACCGGAUAACAACAGAUGAUGCCUAUCAACUGUUUAAAAGAUGGUUCUGCUAUCACUCUUGGAUGGACCUGCGGUGCAUUAGCUAGUUGGUAGGGUAACGGCCUACCAAGGCGAUGAUGCAUAGCCGAGUUGAGAGACUGAUCGGCCACAUUGGGACUGAGACACGGCCCAAACUCCUACGGGAGGCAGCAGGC
rnacentral:rRNA from 1 species